UACGUAGGGUGCAAGCGUUAAUCGGAAUUACUGGGCGUAAAGCGUGCGCAGGCGGUUUUGUAAGUCUGUCGUGAAAUCCCCCGGGCUCAACCUGGGAAUUGCGAUGGAGACUGCAAGGCUAGAAUCUGGCAGAGGGGGGUAGAAUUCCACGUGUAGCAGUGAAAUGCGUAGAGAUGUGGAGGAACACCGAUGGCGAAGGCAGCCCCCCUGGGUCAAGAUUGACGCUCAUGCACGAAAGCGUGGGGAGCGGAACAGG
rnacentral:rRNA from 1 species